rnacentral:sRNA from 1 species
UGCGUGUAUACAUAGGUUUGUUAUCUGA